AUGAAUCGGGCUAGUGCAGCUGGUGCCAAGGGAAAGAAGAAGGGUGCAACCUUCACCGUUGACUGUGCUAAGCCAGUUGAAGACAAGAUCAUGGACACUGCUUCCCUUGAGAAGUUUCUUCAAGAGAGGAUCAAGGUUGGUGGCAAAGUCGGUGCUCUUGGUGAUUCUGUUACUGUUACCAGGGAGAAAUCAAAGAUCACUGUUACUUUUGAUAGCAAUUUCUCCAAAAGGUAA